rnacentral:rRNA from 1 species
UAAACGAGUCUCGGCAACGGAUAUCUCGGCUCACGCAUCGAUGAAGAACGUAGCAAAAUGCGAUACUUGGUGUGAAUUGCAGAAUCCCGUGAACCAUCGAGUUUUUGAACGCAAGUUGCGCCCGAAGCCAUUCGGCCGAGGGCACGUCUGCCUGGGCGUCACGC